UUGACCUACGGGACGCAGCAGUGGGGGAUAUUGCACAAUGGGGGGAACCCUGAUGCAGCGACGCCGCGUGAGCGAUGAAGUAUUUCGGUAUGUAAAGCUCUAUCAGCAGGGAAGAAAAUGACGGUACCUGACUAAGAAGCCCCGGCUAACUACGUGCCAGCAGCCGCGGUAAUACGUAGGGGGCAAGCGUUAUCCGGAUUUACUGGGUGUAAAGGGAGCGUAGACGGCUGCGCAAGUCAGAAGUGAAAGCCCGGGGCUCAACCGCGGGACUGCUUUUGAAACUGUGUAGCUAGAGUGCAGGGGAG
rnacentral:rRNA from 1 species